rnacentral:rRNA from 1 species
AACGAACGCUGGCGGCAUGCCUAACACAUGCAAGUCGAACGGGAUCCUAGCUUGCUAGGUGAGAGUGGCGGACGGGUGAGUAACACGUGGGAAUCUGCCCUUUGGUCCGGGAUAACCGCGGGAAACUGCGGCUAAUACCGGAUGCCCUCGUGAGAGGAAAGAUUUAUCGCCAGAGGAGGAGCCCGCGUCCGAUUAGGUAGUUGGUGGGGUAAAGGCCUACCAAGCCGACGAUCGGUAGCUGGUCUGAGAGGAUGAUCAGCCACACUGGGACUGAGAUACGGCGCAGACUGCGACGGGAGGCAGCAGUGGGGAAUAUUGGGCAAUGGGGGCAACCCUGAUCCAGCAAUGCCGCGUGAGUGAUGAAGGCCUUAGGGUUGUAAAGCUCUUUUGCCAGGGAAGAUGAUGACUGUACCUGGAGAAUAAGCCCCGGCUAACUGCGUGCCAGCCGCCGCCGUAA